rnacentral:rRNA from 1 species
AGUCGAACGGCAGCGGGGGCUUCGGCCUGCCGGUGAGUGGCGAACGGGUGAGUAAUGCAUCGGAACGUGCCCAUGUCGUGGGGGAUAACGUAGCGAAAGCUACGCUAAUACCGCAUACGUCCUGAGGGAGAAAGCGGGGGAUCUUUGGACCUCGCGCGAUUGGAGCGGCCGAUGUCGGAUUAGCUAGUAGGUGAGGUAAAGGCUCACCUAGGCGACGAUCCGUAGCGGGUCUGAGAGGAUGAUCCGCCACACUGGGACUGAGACACGGCCCAGACUCCUACGGGAGGCAGCAGUGGGGAAUUUUGGACAAUGGGGGCAACCCUGAUCCAGCCAUGCCGCGUGAGUGAAGAAGGCCUUCGGGUUGUAAAGCUCUUUCGGCCGGGAAGAAAUCGUGGUCUCUAACAUAGGACAUGGAUGACGGUACCGGACUAAGAAGCACCGGCUAACUACGUGCCAGCAGCCGCGGUAAUACGUAGGGUGCGAGCGUUAAUCGGAAUUACUGGGCGUAAAGCGUGCGCAGGCGGUUUUGUAAGACAGAUGUGAAAUCCCCGGGCUUAACCUGGGAACUGCGUUUGUGACUGCAAGGCUAGAGUACGGCAGAGGGGGGUGGAAUUCCUGGUGUAGCAGUGAAAUGCGUAGAGAUCAUGAGGAACACCGAUGGCGAAGGCAGCCCCCUGGGCCUGUACUGACGCUCAUGCACGAAAGC